rnacentral:rRNA from 1 species
UGCGUAGGCGGCCAGGUAAGUCAGGAGUGAAAGUUUGCGGCUCAACCGUAAAAUUGCUUUUGAUACUGCCGGGCUAGAAUUAGGAUGAGGUCAGCGGAAUGUGGCAUGUAGCGGUGAAAUGCAUAGAUAUGCCAUAGAACACCAAUUGCGAAGGCAGCUGGCUAGACCUGGAUUGACGCUGAGGCACGAAAGCGUGGGGAGCGAACAGGAUUAGAUACCCUGGUAGUCCACGCCCUAAACGAUGCUUACUCGACGUAUGUCGCUAGACGAUGUGCGUCCAAGGGAAACCGUUAAGUAAGCCACCUGGGGAGUACGACCGCAAGGUUGAA